UACAGAGGGUGCAAGCGUUAAUCGGAAUUACUGGGCGUAAAGCGCGCGUAGGCGGUUGUGUAAGUUGGAUGUGAAAGCCCCGGGCUUAACCUGGGAAUGGCAUUCAAAACUGCACGGCUAGAGUAUUGGAGAGGAAGGUAGAAUUCCAGGUGUAGCGGUGAAAUGCGUAGAGAUCUGGAGGAAUACCGAUGGCGAAGGCAGCCUUCUGGCCAAAUACUGACGCUGAGGUGCGAAAGCAUGGGGAGCAAAC
rnacentral:rRNA from 2 species